CCCAGAGGUAUUGAUUGGUGAGAUUCUUCAGUACUCAUUUCGUACUUAUUAUUUGCACCGACCUGCGCAGAUGCGCAGGUUUUUUUU
rfam:Yokenella regensburgei ATCC 43003 genomic scaffold Scfld129, whole genome shotgun sequence.